rnacentral:rRNA from 1 species
AACGAACGCUGGCGGCGUGCCUAACACAUGCAAGUCGAACGGAUUGAAGGGGCUUGCUCCUUCAGUUAGUGGCGCACGGGUGAGUAACGCGUAGAUAAUCUGCCUGAUGAUCUGGGAUAACAGUUCGAAAGGACUGCUAAUACCGGAUAAUCCCACGUGGUCUUUGGACCGUGCGGGAAAAGGGGGGGACCUUCGGGCCUUCUGUCAUCAGUUGAGUGUGCGUACCAUUAGCUAGUUGGUAGGGUAGUGGCCUACAAAGGCUACGAUGGUUAGCUGGUUUAAGAGAAUGAACAGCCACACUGGAACUGAGACACGGUCAAGAUUCGUACGGGAGGCAGCAGGGGGGAAUUUUGCGCAAUGGGCGAAAGCCUGACGCAGCAACGCCGCGUGAGUGAUGAAGGCUUUCGGGUCGUAAAGCUCUGUCGAGGGGAAAGAAGUGUAUUGUGGUUAAUACCCGCGAUACUUGACGGUACCCCUAAAGGAAGCACCGGCUAACUCCGUGCCAGCAGCCGCCGUAACAC